rnacentral:rRNA from 1 species
AGACCCGAAACCCGGUGAUCUAGCCAUGGGCAGGUUGAAGGUUGGGUAACACUAACUGGAGGACCGAACCGACUAAUGUUGAAAAAUUAGCGGAUGACUUGUGGCUGGGGGUGAAAGGCCAAUCAAACCGGGAGAUAGCUGGUUCUCCCCGAAAGCUAUUUAGGUAGCGCCUCGUGAAUUCAUCUCCGGGGGUAGAGCACUGUUUCGGCAAGGGGGUCAUCCCGACUUACCAACCCGAUGCAAACUGCGAAUACCGGAGAAUGUUAUCACGGGAGACACACGGCGGGUGCUAACGUCCGUCGUGAAGAGGGAAACAACCCAGACCGCCAGCUAAGGUCCCAAAGUCAUGGUUAAGUGGGAAACGAUGUGGGAAGGCCCAGACAGCCAGGAUGUUGGCUUAGAAGCAGCCAUCAUUUAAAGAAAGCGUAAUAGCUCACUGGUCGAGUCGGCCUGCGCGGAAGAUGUAACGGGGCUAAACCAUGCACCGAAGCUGCGGCAGCGACACUGUGUGUUGUUGGGUAGGGGAGCGUUCUGUAAGCCUGUGAAGGUGUGCUGUGAGGCAUGCUGGAGGUAUCAGAAGUGCGAAUGCUGACAUAAGUAACGAUAAAGCGGGUGA